CAUAUGUGCAUAAUAAACAAAACAAAAUUUGACCAUUCUGUCACCACAAUUAGGAUUAUAGGUAGGAAAGAAAAAGGCCUUACAAAUUCACAAAAUGUCUAAAAAUACCCUUAAUAAACUGAAAUCCGUUAGCUAAUUUAUGUGUCCAUGGUCUCCUCCCAUUUCUCUUCAUCUCCCCUCCUAUCUAUUCUUCUUUCCAUUCGUUUUCUUCGCACUAACCCAAAAAACAAAAACAAAAUCAAAGGAAAAAAAAAAAGUUGUCUCCACCAAAAAACAAGCCUCCCCUUAGGGCUCACCCGCCGGCAACGCAACAGCAGCCGAUUACU
rnacentral:lncRNA from 1 species